UCCCACUCUCAAAUGCUCUACGUGGCUUAUCAAAAAAAAGCCAUUCCCUAAUUGUCUCACCCUCAAGAACUGAAAGAUCAAAGAGCUCUGGUGCAUUCCAUGGGGACUUUGCAGUUGCAGCUCCCUCACAUUCAGGAAUACCAACAUCUUUUCCUUGUGCCUUCGCACUUAGAGCAGCAAAAAGAAGACCAUCCUUCAGGCCAAUGCCCCCGGGUCGAAGAACCGGACCCAUCCCAGGUGGACCUUCAUUUAAUGCUAGGGCAUGAUGAAAGCUACUGCAAUAGUCCUGACACCAGUCCAACCCUCCUUGAGCAGGUCUUGGACAAUCCCAAAGUGCACAUUUUGGGCCCAGGAAAGCAGAAGGUGGAGGA
rnacentral:misc_RNA from 1 species